rnacentral:rRNA from 1 species
ACCCGCUGAACUUAAGCAUAUCAAUAAGCGGAGGAAAAGAAACUAACAAGGAUUCCCCUAGUAACGGCGAGUGAAGCGGGAAAAGCUCAAAUUUGAAAUCUGGCGGUCUACGGCCGUCCGAGUUGUAAUCUAGAGAGGUGUUUUCCGUGCUGGACCAUGUACAAGUCCCUUGGAACAGGGCGUCAUAGAGGGUGAGAAUCCCGUCCGUGACAUGGACUACCAGUGCUCUGCGAUACACCUUCAAAGAGUCGAGUUGUUUGGGAAUGCAGCUCAAAACGGGAGGUAAAUUCCUUCUAAAGCUAAAUACAGGCGAGAGACCGAUAGCGAACAAGUACCGUGAGGGAAAGAUGAAAAGAACUUUGGAAAGAGAGUUAAACAGUACGUGAAAUUGUUGAAAGGGAAACGCUUGAAGUCAGUCGCGUCUCUGGGGACUCAGCCUUGCUUCUGCUUGGUGCACUUCUCCUUAGAUGGGCCAGCAUCAAUUUUGUUCGGCGGAAAAAGACUUCGGGAAUGUGGCAGUCUCGGCUGUGUUAUAGCCCGUUGUUAAACGUUGAAUGGGAUUGAGGAUCGCAGCGUGCCGCAAGGUAGGGCUUCGGCCACUUCACACGCUUAGGAUGCUGGCGUAAUGGCUUUAAACGACCCGUCUUGAAACACGG